rnacentral:rRNA from 1 species
UGGGGAAUAUUGCACAAUGGGCGCAAGCCUGAUGCAGCCAUGCCGCGUGUGUGAAGAAGGCCUUCGGGUUGUAAAGCACUUUCAGCGAGGAGGAAGGUGGUGAACUUAAUACGUUCAUCAAUUGACGUUACUCGCAGAAGAAGCACCGGCUAACUCCGUGCCAGCAGCCGCGGUAAUACGGAGGGUGCAAGCGUUAAUCGGAAUUACUGGGCGUAAAGCGCACGCAGGCGGUUUGUUAAGUCAGAUGUGAAAUCCCCGGGCUCAACCUGGGAACUGCAUUUGAAACUGGCAAGCUAGAGUCUCGUAGAGGGGGGUAGAAUUCCAGGUGUAGCGGUGAAAUGCGUAGAGAUCUGGAGGAAUACCGGUGGCGAAGGCGGCCCCCCUGGACGAAGACUGACGCUCAGGUGCGAAAGCGUGGGGGAGCAAAACAGGAUUAGAUACCCUGGUAGUCCACGCUGUAAAACGAUGUCGAUUUGGAGGUUGUGCCCCUUGAGGCGUGGCUUCCGGAGCUAACGCGUUAAAUCGACCGCCU